GGGCACGGGGGGCCUACGGGAGGCAGCAGGGAGGAAUAUUGGACAAUGGGCGAAAGCCUGAUCCAGCAAUGCCGCGUGAGUGAAGAAGGCCUUAGGGUUGUAAAGCUCUUUCGCCCGCGACGAUGAUGACGGUAGCGGGAGAAGAAGCCCCGGCUAAUUCCGUGCCAGCAGCCGCGGUAAUA
rnacentral:rRNA from 1 species